rnacentral:piRNA from 1 species
UGUGUGUCACUUCAGCUAGGCUGCACCU